rnacentral:lncRNA from 1 species
CUUUUGUCUUCUGAUGCAUGCUGAGAACUCCAGGUUGUGCUACCUCUAGCUGUAGGAAGUAGAUAUGCAGGUGGGAUGUAGAGCGGGUUGACCAGAGUCAAUGACAGAAACAAACACUUAGGGUGUUGGUUUCCUCUCACCUAACAAAAUUACUGAUAUGCAAAUAACUGCUAAAAUAAAAAGAAAGAGUUAAAAAUAGGAAAAUUACUUGUUAUCCAUGAAAAAGGAGAAUUGGAAUAUAAAGAAGAGGAAACUGCAUGGAGACCUACAAAAUUUUUAAAAAUGAGGAUCGAAGUUUGUGAUGUUUAAGGCAAAGACUGGUUCUUCAUUUCCCCUGGAGACUAUACAAAGGGAAGUUGCAUUGCAUCUCACUUGCAUUUGAGUGAACAUCUCAUGUUCUCCCCCCUCCAUAAUCACGUCAUCCCGCAGGGCACCCUUCCUAGGCGAAAAGUAUUCAUGUGCAUGCAAAUCCUCUGGGGAUCUUGAAAGUAAUCUAGAUCUGAUUUGGCCAGUCUGGCAUAGGGCUCGAGAUUCUGAAUUUCUAACCAGCUGCCAAUGUUGAAGGUCUGUGUGGAGCUGAGUGGCAAGAAUCCUCCCUUUCCCAUGUGGUUUGGGUGGGGGACUGCUGAGCAGAGCAGCUGGCAUAUUGCACACCCUCCACUCUGCCCUGGAGUGGUUGUGAGGUCCAGACUUGGCCAAAGAACGUUCUUAACAGGAAUUUUGUUCUUCUGUCCCCAGCUCACGUGCCUCAGGGAAGCUUCAGGUUGAGGUGAUGAGGCCAAUUCAUUAGGAGAUGCUGAGGGGAAGAGAAAAGAAGAGAGGAGAUAUCAGGAAAGAGACCAGAUAAAGUACCUUGAGUCCUGGAUUCCCCAUCCUGGAACAUCUCAGUCAGACCGACAGUGAAUUCCCUUUUUGCUUAAACUAAUUUGAGUUGUUUCUGUUAUUUGCAAUUAAAAGUGUUCUGUGUAAUACAGGAGUGAUUUAGACUUGAUAUAAAGAAUUCUUUAUUAUGGCAGGAGGGUGGUUGUUACUCUUACUGAAGAUCUUUAGGAAGGACUGGCCCCAUCAGAGGCUGCUGCUAGUUCAUGGGACAAUGAUCCAGAGCUCCAUGCUGAGAAAAGAUUUGUUGCAGAAAGAUGACCCAACAGCUGGCCUGAUCGUGAAGUCACCUUGCUGAGGUACUGAAGGCGCAGAAGGUGUGGGUCCUGAUCUGCAGGCUGGGUCCCUGUAUGAAGUGUCUCUAUGCAGACCUGUGACAGUGACCCAAAUCUACCUGUGAUUGCAUCCUUCCUUUGGAUGGCUAAGGCUUUUAUGAUGGUGCUGAGUGUCGACUAGGAGGGUUAGGGAAUGGAGCCUGAGGCGGGGAACAGAAGUGAUUUCAGAGGGACUUGGAGGAGUAAUAUUAAAUUAUUUGUGUGGCAUCGACUCUACCAGUGAAAACACCUGCUAGCCACAGUGACAUUCUUGGGAGCACUAGUUGAACACCAGCCAUAGUCUCCUGGAUACCCUUUGAAGUAGGUACAGGAUCUGCACUAUUUUUAUAUAGGUACUGAAUUUCCUAGGCAUAGAGUUUUUCAAAAGAGAUUUUAAAUAAUAUUUAUAAAUAUGACAUUCUUAUACCGUUUGUACAUUAAAAACUUCUAUUUUCCCUCAGUAUUUUUACAAAGGGGUGCAUUCAUUGUCAUGUCUGGUGGUCAGCUUUAUGUUAUUUAGAAUAAGCUUCAGAACUUUCUCCUGUAAAACUAAUUUUAAUAUAUCUAGCCCUUGUUCAAAUGCAACUGUCUUAUUCUAAAUGUAUUACAUGGAUAAAUGAUUAAUAUUACAAAAAUGGAAGCCUUUAAUCUUUUGGAUUUUUAGAAUGUUAAAUGUAGACAGGCUUGAUAUUAGCACUUUGGUUAUAUUAAACAUAAUAGAAAUUUAUCAAAAGAAGCCCAAGAAGGGUCCAUUUUCGGGAGUUACAACCAUGAUGGACUCUAUCUUUCCGUGUGCUGUUAAUGUUACUAGGACUAGAAGAACUUCUCUUGUCCAUUGGUGAACCAAAAACCAACCAAACAACAAAACCAAAAACCAACCAAAUAACAAAACAAAAAACAAUGGUGGUGGGAAGAUUGUGAGACUAUUUAGGCCUAGUCACUUUUGUAAUGUUUGCUUACUUAGUUGAAAGGCAAGAACAUUGCAUUUCAAGUCCAGAGUGCUGGGUGUGAGUCUAAUGCCUUUUUGGCAUUUUCAUCCACUCUGUACCUCUCCCUCACCCUUCUCAGUCCCCACCCCCUGAACCCCCAGUUUUUUUGGUAGACAGGGUUUUGUAGAAUAUAGCAGAGGGAAGAAGCCCUUCUUAGGAAUGAGGUGCUAUACCACGUUCUUAAAGUGAUCAUUAAGCAACCUCAAGAGCAGAAGCUAAGAGUCUCCGAGAAAGUAAAAAAGCCUCCAUUUAAGACUGCAGCAUUCCUGAGCAGCCUGACAUUUUUCUCGUCCAGAGUAUGGGUAGUUCCCAUGUUGCGGACCAUGGAGGUAUUAUCGGGGGUCUGUGAAUCCCAAGCAUACAUUCGACCUUGUGAAUAUAGUAAAUAAAUACCUCACACAUAAUGCACUACUGUUUUCCAAGGUAGGUAAGUGAUAUUUUAAUUAUCAAGUUCCACAAAGUUAUGUGGAAAUGAAUUCACCAUUGCUUUCUGUUGUAUUUUUCUUAUUAUAAAUAUGAGAUCUAAAAUACAAGAUACUAAGUCUAGAUCCUGUGGAAUUUGAUUCCUUUAAAGCCUUCAGUGUGUUAUACUAAGUGAAGUAAGACAGAUGGAGGAAGACAAGUAUCAUAGGAGGUUACUCAUAUGUGGAAUCUACAAAAAUGAUACAAAUGAAGUUAUUUACAAAACAGAAACAGACUCACAGACAGAGAGAAAAAACUUACCUACCAAAGAAGCUAAUACAACAUUGUAACUAAACUAUACUUCAAUUGAAAAAAAAGGAAUGGAGAUUUGAUACAUGCUACAACAUGGAUGAAACUGGAAAAUAUCAUGCCAGGUGAAAUUAAGCCAGACAGAAAAGGAUAACUGUAUGCUUCCACUUGAAUGAGAGACCUGGAAUAGGCAAAUUCACAGAGGUAGAGAGUAGAAUAGAGGCUGAGGGGAGAGAAGACUGUGUGUUGUUGUUUAAGGGAAGCAGAGUUUCUGUUUGGGAUGAUAAAAACUUGUGGAAAUAGGUAGUGGUGAUGGUUGCACAAUACUAUAAAUGUAGUGUCACUGAACGGUACACUUAAAAGUGAUGAAUGUUAGGUUGUGUAUAUUUUACCACAAUAAAACUUACAUACUGUCUCUGACUUACCAAAACAAUUUAAGCAUGUUAAAAAAUAGGUCCAUAGAAUUUUAUAGGCCACUCAGAUUUUUUUUUUUAAUACUGAAAUUCUCUCAGCAGUAACUUUUUUUCUAAAAAUUCUCUGGACUGAUCAGGGGGUGUUCUCUAUGUCCUUAGUUCUGUGAAGAAUUACCUAGAGGCAUGACAAGAGCUCAUUAAUUAAAUAUUGCGGUACCGGACCCUCGUCAUGCCCGACAGUUCUCUCAUUAUGUGCCUCUGAGAGGGAUACUAGUUGUCAGCAGCUGAUGUAAAAUAAUUUCCUCCUGUCAAGGAGAAAAGCCUUGAUAGCAGUUCUUCAUGUCUAUUAGGUAAAUUAUUUGAGCAAAAAUGGUUUUGCACUGAAGGGAAAGUCAAAACAUCUCAUGCAAAAUCUUAAAGUGAUUUGUUUCCUAUGGCAAGAAAAAAAUUAGCUUUCUCCAAAGGUAAACAUCUUUCGCUAGUGCCGUUGGCAUCCCUCCACCUUUGCACAGCUGCCUCUUUUUGCAGGUAUAUUUCUUCUAUUAUUGUAUAAGGAAUAUGCUAUAUUCCUGGAUGCACUGUAACAGAAGCACUGAGUGUGAAAAAUUCCAUUGUUUUUAGUGAUAUUAUCAACUGAGAACUUCAGCAACAUUGUGAUCUUUUUGGUGGGCGAGAUCUCUGGGUAGUCUUUAAAUAUUAUUUUUCUUGACAGACGGGAACACAUUUAAAAAUCUUUAUCUAUGUCAGUGAUCUACAUCUUUAUCUCUCUAUAUCUAAACUGAAUGGAAAAUUUUGCUUUGUGAUUUCUUUUUCCAUCCAGACAUUUGUCCGUUUAUGCUGGCUCCCAUAAAUAAAACUCAUCACUUCCUAUUUUCAUAGCUGAUUUAAACGAAGCAAAGAAAGGCACAUCUUAAAAU